AGCGGUCCACAGGUGAUGCACCCUAGAACUGGGCUCCCUCCUCUCUGGUUCCGGGGUGCAUCACUGAACCGCU
rfam:Myotis lucifugus cont2.52876, whole genome shotgun sequence.